UCAUAGCUCAGUGGUAGAACACCUGCUUUGCAUGCAGAAGGUCCCAGGUUCAAUCUCUAGAUAGGGCUGGGAAAG